AGCAGCCGCGGUAAUUCCAGCUCCAAUAGCGUAUAUUAAAGUUGUUGCAGUUAAAAAGCUCGUAGUUGAAUUUCGGGAUUGACGUGAUGGUCGUGCCUUAAGGGGUAUGAACUGUCGCAGUUGAUUUCUCACCUUCUGGAGAAGCUUGAUGUCCUUAAUUGGGUGUCAUGUGGAACCAGGACCUUUACCUUGAAAAAAUUAGAGUGUUUAAAGCAGGCAUUUUGCUCGAAUACAUUAGCAUGGAAUAAUAGAAUAGGACGGCAUGGUUCUAUUUUGUUGGUUUCUAGGAUCACCGUAAUGAUUAAUAGGGAUAGUUGGGGGCAUUAGUAUUCAAUUGUCAGAGGUGAAAUUCUUGGAUUUAUUGAAGACUAACUACUGCGAAAGCAUUUGCCAAGGAUGUUUUCAUUAAUCAAGAACGAAAGUUAGGGGAUCGAAGACGAUCAGAUACCGUCGUAGUCUUAACCAUAAACUAUGCCGACUAGGAAUCAGACGAUGUAAUUUUUAAUGACUC
rnacentral:rRNA from 1 species